AGAGUUUGAUCAUGGCUCAGGACGAACGCUGGCGGCGUGCCUAACACAUGCAAGUCGAGGCGGAGACAGUGAGUAGCUUGCUAUGAGCUGUUUUAGCGGCGGACGGGUGAGUAACGCGUGAGCAACCUUUCCCAGACAGGGGAGUAACACGACCGAAAGGUGUAACUAAUACCGCACUAAGACCACGGGAUCACAUGGUUCUGGGGGU
rnacentral:rRNA from 1 species